GACGAACGCUGGCGGCGUGCCUAAUACAUGCAAGUAGAACGCUGAAGGAGGAGCUUGCUUCUCUGGAUGAGUUGCGAACGGGUGAGUAACGCGUAGGUAACCUGCCUGGUAGCGGGGGAUAACUAUUGGAAACGAUAGCUAAUACCGCAUAAGAGUAGAUGUUGCAUGACAUUUGCUUAAAAGGUGCAAUUGCAUCACUACCAGAUGGACCUGCGUUGUAUUAGCUAGUUGGUGGGGUAACGGCUUACCAAGGCGAUGAUACAUAGCCGACCUGGGAGGGGGAUCGGCCACACUGGGACUGAGACACGGCCCAGACCCCUACGGGAGGCAGCAGUAGGGAAUCUUCGGCAAUGGACGGAAGUCUGACCGAGCAACGCCGCGUGAGUGAAGAAGGUUUUCGGAUCGUAAAGCCCUGUUGUAAGAGAAGAACGAGUGUGAGAGUGGAAAGUGCACACUGUGACGGUAUCUUACCAGAAAGGGACGGCUAACUACGUG
rnacentral:rRNA from 1 species